rnacentral:miRNA from 1 species
AAGCAGGAGGUGUCAGAAAAGUUACCACAAGAAUAACUGGCUUGUAGCGGCCAAGCGUUCAUAGCGACGUCGCUUUUUGAUCCUACGA